rnacentral:rRNA from 1 species
GACGAACGCUGGCGGCGUGCUUAACACAUGCAAGUCGAACGGAAAGGCCCUGCUUUUGUGGGGUGCUCGAGUGGCGAACGGGUGAGUAACACGUGAGUAACCUGCCCUUGACUUUGGGAUAACUUCUGGAAACUGGGGCUAAUACCGGAUAGGAGCUCCUGCUGCAUGGUGUGGGUUGGAAAGUUUCGGCGGUUGGGGAUGGACUCGCGGCUUAUCAGCUUGUUGGUGGGGUAGUGGCUUACCAAGGCUUUGACGGGUAGCCGGCCUGAGAGGGUGACCGGCCACAUUGGGACUGAGAUACGGCCCAGACUCCUACGGGAGGCAGCAGUGGGGAAUAUUGCACAAUGGGCGGAAGCCUGAUGCAGCAACGCCGCGUGCGGGAUGACGGCCUUCGGGUUGUAAACCGCUUUCGCCUGUGACGAAGCGUGAGUGACGGUAAUGGGUAAAGAAGCACCGGCUAACUACGUG